ACAGAUGGGAGCUUGCUCCCUGAUGUUAGCGGCGGACGGGUGAGUAACACGUGGGUAACCUGCCUGUAAGACUGGGAUAACUCCGGGAAACCGGGGCUAAUACCGGAUGCUUGUUUGAACCGCAUGGUUCAAACAUAAAAGGUGGCUUCGGCUACCACUUACAGAUGGACCCGCGGCGCAUUAGCUAGUUGGUGAGGUAAUGGCUCACCAAGGCAACGAUGCGUAGCCGACCUGAGAGGGUGAUCGGCCACACUGGGACUGAGACACGGCCCAGACUCCUACGGGAGGCAGCAGUAGGGAAUCUUCCGCAAUGGACGAAAGUCUGACGGAGCAACGCCGCGUGAGUGAUGAAGGUUUUCGGAUCGUAAAGCUCUGUUGUUAGGGAAGAACAAGUACCGUUCGAAUAGGGCGGUACCUUGACGGUACCUAACCAGAAAGCCACGGCUAACUACGUGCCAGCAGCCGCGGUAAUACGUAGGUGGCAAGCGUUGUCCGGAAUUAUUGGGCGUAAAGGGCUCGCAGGCGGUUUCUUAAGUCUGAUGUGAAAGCCCCCGGCUCAACCGGGGAGGGUCAUUGGAAACUGGGGAACUUGAGUGCAGAAGAGGAGAGUGGAAUUCCACGUGUAGCGGUGAAAUGCGUAGAGAUGUGGAGGAACACCAGUGGCGAAGGCGACUCUCUGGUCUGUAACUGACGCUGAGGAGCGAAAGCGUGGGGAGCGAACAGGAUUAGAUACCCUGGUAGUCCACGCCGUAAACGAUGAGUGCUAAGUGUUAGGGGGUUU
rnacentral:rRNA from 1 species